UGGCUGGGAACUCCCCUAAACUCCAAAGUUUAAACACCCCCGGGGAACCUGCCCGUGCUGGGAGGAGGCUGAGUUAAGGUCAGGAGGGGACCAGGAGCUCGGAAGCAUGUCGGGGAAGCCCAGGCUUACCUACCUUAAUGGCAGGGGGCGAAUGGAGCCCGUACGAUGGCUGUUGGCAGCCGCUGGCGUGGAGUUUGAAGAAAUUUUUUUGGAAACAAGAGAGCAGUAUGAAAAGUUAAUCAAAG